CCUACGGGUGGCAGCAGUCGAGAAUCAUUCACAAUGGGGGAAACCCUGAUGGUGCGACGCCGCGUGGGGGAAUGAAGGUCUUCGGAUUGUAAACCCCUGUCAUGUGGGAGCAAAUUAAAAAGAUAGUACCACACGAGGAAGAGACGGCUAACUCUGUGCCAGCAGCCGCGGUAAUACAGAGGUCUCAAGCGUUGUUCGGAAUCACUGGGCGUAAAGCGUGCGUAGGCUGUGUCGUAAGUCGUGUGUGAAAGGCGCGGGCUCAACCCGCGGACGGCACAUGAUACUGCGAGACUAGAGUAAUGGAGGGGGAACCGGGAUUCUCGGUGUAGCAGUGAAAUGCGUAGGUAUCGAGAGGAACACUCGUGGCGAAGGCGGGUUCCUGGACAUUAACUGACGCUGGGGCACGAAGGCCAGGGGAGCGAAAGGGAUUAGAUACCCGGGUAGUC
rnacentral:rRNA from 1 species